ACUCCUACGGGAGGCAGCAGUGGGGAAUUUUGGACAAUGGGCGCAAGCCUGAUCCAGCAAUGCCGCGUGCAGGAAGAAGGCCUUCGGGUUGUAAACUGCUUUUGUACGGAACGAAACGGUCUGGGUUAAUACCUCGGGCUAAUGACGGUACCGUAAGAAUAAGCACCGGCUAACUACGUGCCAGCAGCCGCGGUAAUACGGAGGGUGCAAGCGU
rnacentral:rRNA from 2 species